rnacentral:rRNA from 1 species
ACUCCUACGGGAGGCAGCAGUGGGGAAUAUUGCACAAUGGGCGCAAGCCUGAUGCAGCCAUGCCGCGUGUAUGAAGAAGGCCUUCGGGUUGUAAAGUACUUUCAGCAGUGAGGAAGGCGGAGUCGUUAAUAGCGGCCUCGUUUGACGUUAGCUGCAGAAGAAGCACCGGCUAACUCCGUGCCAGCAGCCGCGGUAAUACGGAGGGUGCGAGCGUUAAUCGGAAUUACUGGGCGUAAAGCGCAUGCAGGUGGUUUGUUAAGUCAGAUGUGAAAGCCCGGGGCUCAACCUCGGAAUUGCAUUUGAAACUGGCAGACUAGAGUACUGUAGAGGGGGGUAGAAUUUCAGGUGUAGCGGUGAAAUGCGUAGAGAUCUGAAGGAAUACCGGUGGCGAAGGCGGCCCCCUGGACAGAUACUGACACUCAGAUGCGAAAGCGUGGGGAGCAAACAGGAUUAGAUACCCCUGGUAGCACAGAG